AUCUAAAGGAAGAUAUUAAGAGUUAAUAAUCAAAGGUAAAUAAUAUUAUAAGUUUGUACACAUUAUAUGACAUGGAAAGAAGAGAAUGAGAAGCUAAGAUUAGAGAUGGAUACAUUCCCUUUGUGUCUCAUGAUCCAUGGAACUGGUUGUUUGCGUAUUUACGCAUGCUUUUCCAACUAAUUCUCAGUGGUUAGCCUGCUUGUGAAGAUGGACAUUACUUGCAUCGAUUUUCCAGUUUAUAAAUGCAUGUAAGCAUCAUUUUAUAUAUGGCUGAAAAUGUCUAGUGGCAGUUGGAGGUCAGACACAUGAGGCCAGAAAACCAAAUUGUAAUGUAUUUAUUCACAGUUUAUUUUUCUUGGCUAUCCACUAUGUUGUGCUGGAUACAUAUAUCUUUAUAAUUACUGGCAAUACAUGAGAAGUCUUAGCCUGCAGCAUGUAGACUUUAUU